rnacentral:rRNA from 1 species
UACGUAGGGUGCGAGCGUUGUCCGGAAUUAUUGGGCGUAAAGGGCUCGUAGGCGGUUUGUCGCGUCGGGAGUGAAAUCCACUGGCUUAACUGGUGGCUUGCUUUCGAUACGGGCAGACUGGAGGUAUGCAGGGGAGAACGGAAGUUCCUGGUGUAGCGGUGAAAUGCGCAGAUAUCAGGAGGAACACCGGUGGCGAAGGCGGUUCUCUGGGCAUGUCCUGACGCUGAGGAGCGAAAGCAUGGGGAGCGAACAGG